UGGGCAACCUGCCCCUCUCUCUGGGAUAACCCCGGGAAACCGGAGCUAAUACCGGAUACUCCGGCUGGAUCGCAUGGUCCGGCCGGGAAAGGUCCGCCGGAGAGGGAUGGGCCCGCGGCCUAUCAGCUUGUUGGUGGGGUCAUGGCCUACCAAGGCGACGACGGGUAGCCGGCCUGAGAGGGCGACCGGCCACACUGGGACUGAGACACGGCCCAGACUCCUACGGGAGGCA
rnacentral:rRNA from 1 species